rnacentral:lncRNA from 1 species
GGAAUUUUCCCAAGUUACUUGAUAUGGACAGAGGCACUGGGACUCUUAUUGUCAAAAUUCCAUCUAGCUUUGUGUUGUCACAAUGGGUCUCCUCAGCGAUUGUGGUUGGGUCACAGAUGUUUGCCUUCUGAGUCUGGAAGUAUUUCUGCUGGAGUCUUUCUGUGAUUUUGAAUCCUGAUCAUUACCAGAGUGUUCAGGCACAAGUUUCCCCAAGGAAGAAUGGCAGAACACAUUCUCUGUAGCUCCUUCAGUCCCCCUUACUGGGAUAGUCUGGAGGGCUUUGGGACUCCCAGUUUCUGUGCCUGGGGAUUACAGUUCACUCUGAACACUGCCACCAGAAUGUGAACCACCUCUAGAUUAUCUGGCCAUCUUUUAAACAUCUGAACAUUGUUUCCUAAGCUUCCAGCGUGCAUCAAUUUCAAACUGACCAAUGUCAGUUCCCUGAGUCUCACAUCGCCCUUGGAGGACCUAGGUACCGCAUCUGGCCUCUCACCAUUCCUUUCACGUCUCGUCACUCCAUACCAUCACAAUCUGCUCAUUCUGGGGCACUUCCCAAAUUAUACAUCAGGAAAGUGAACCAUGUUCCAGUUUUCACAUCAGAAUGAACAAGGCCGGGCCUGCUAAUCAGCUGGAAAUGAUCAACGCUGCUCUCUUCACCACAAAACUCUGCCCCUGGUCUUGGGCUCUUUUGUCUACAGUUCUUGGGGCUACUCACAAAGCAAAAACCACCCAUCGCUCUUGAUGCUCAGAUAAUGCUUCUGUAUCCCUGUUCCUCCCCGUCUCCCACCCCCUAAAUACAACUCAUCAAGUAGGAUUUCAAGCUGGAAGGAAUUAAAAGGGAAAAUUUGUAUAUAAUAUAUAUAUGAUGCAUAAAAUAUAUGUGUAUAUCAGAC